rnacentral:rRNA from 1 species
UGGGGAAUAUUGCACAAUGGAGGGAACUCUGAUGCAGCGACGCCGCGUGAGUGAUGAAGGAAUUCGUUUCGUAAAACUCUGUUCUAUGGGAAGAAAAGAACUGUACCAUAGGAGAAAGCUCCGGCUAAAUACGUGCCAGCAGCCGCGGUAAUACGUAUGGAGCGAGCGUUGUCCGGAAUUAUUGGGCGUAAAGGGUGCGCAGGCGGCUUUACAAGUUGGAUGUGAAAUAUUGUGGCUCAACCACAAACGUGCAUCCAAAACUGCAAAGCUUGAGUUAAGGAGAGGUAAGUGGAAUUCCUGGUGGAGCGGUGGAAUGCGUAGAUAUCAGGAGGAAUACCGGUGGCGAAGGCGACUUACUGGACUUAAACUGACGCUCAGGCACGAAAGCGUGGGGAGCAAACAGG